UCCAGACUCCUACGGGAGGCAGCAGUGGGGGAUAUUGCACAAUGGGGGGAACCCUGAUGCAGCGACGCCGCGUGGGUGAAGGAGCGUUUCGGCGCGUAAAGCCCUCUCGGCAGGGAAGAAGGAGGACGGUACCUGACUAAGAAGCCCCGACUAACUACGUGCCAGCAGCCGCGGUAAUACGUAGGGGGCAAGCGUUAUCCGGAUUUACUGGGUGUAAAGGGGGCGCAGACGGCAGCGCAAGCCAGGAGUGAAAGCCCGGGGCCCAACCCCGGGACUGCUCUUGGAACUGCGCGGCUGGAGUGCAGGAGGGGCAGGCGGAAUUCCUGGUGUAGCGGUGAAAUGCGUAGAUAUCAGGAGGAACACCGGUGGCGAAGGCGGCCUGCUGGACUGCGACUGACGUUGAGGCCCGAAAGCGUGGGGAGCAAACAGGAUUAGAUACCCCUGUA
rnacentral:rRNA from 1 species